UUAUUAGAAUUGAAUUGAGAGAGGCAGGGGCACAAGAAUGGCCGAGACAAGAUGCUGAGUAGUUGAAAUUAAUGACUCGUGGAGCUGAUCUCCUGCCAAGGGCUACACCAGCUCCCGGGAGGAAUCCACCACUCUGGCCAGUGGCCCAGCACUGCGGAAGCUGCAGUUCAGAUGGGCAGCACUGAAAAAUCACAAAUCUGAGAAACCCAGGACGAUCCCAUGGGCAUGGAGAUUGCUGCAUGGGCCAGAACCCAAGGCCCAAGGGCACAGAGUUCGCCUUCUCUAGACCUUGCGAAACGCUGGCCGUCCUUCCUGGUGGCAAGUUCAGAGGAUCGCGGCACACCCCCCACAGAGCAGGUGGAUCUGGCCUUCACACAUGAUGAGCUUUCUCCACGUCCUCAGCCAGGAAUGCACAGGACCCCAUGUUUCGAUGGUUUAACCUCUGAAAUGUAUGAGGAAGCCCGCCCAGGCAGACGCGCUCCCCCAAGGCCUGGCCAAUGGCUGAGAUGGGGCACCGAAGACAAACAGGGGUGUCGGCGAGGUGCCGGGGAGCUUACCAGACAGACAGCUAUCCAGGCCGCUCUCCCGGCGGGUGUUCCUGCACCACUCUUCAGGGGUCACCCUGCCCUCCCGGUGGUGUGGCAGAAGCAUAGCCAGGUUCUAGAAUGGAGAAAGGAGCCUGAAGCAUGGGUAGGCCAGAGGAAGAGGGCGACGGACACCUCAAAGGGCAUCAUAUUCCCUGAGCAUCUCAUGCUAUGGGCUGAAUUGUGUUCCUCAGAAUCCUUAUGUUGA
rnacentral:lncRNA from 1 species